rnacentral:rRNA from 1 species
UACGUAGGGGGCAAGCGUUGUCCGGAUUUAUUGGGCGUAAAGAGCGUGUAGGCGGCCAUACAGGUCAGCUGUGAAAACUCGAGGCUCAACCUCGAGACGUCGGUUGAAACCGUAUGGCUAGAGUCCGGAAGAGGAGAGUGGAAUUCCCGGUGUAGCGGUGAAAUGCGCAGAUAUCAGGAGGAACACCGGUGGUGUAGACGGCUCUCUGGACCGUAACUGACGCUGAGACACGAAAGCGUGGGUAGCAAACAGG